GAUGAACGCUAGCUACAGGCUUAACACAUGCAAGUCGAGGGGAAACGAUAGAGAAAGCUUGCUUUUUCUAGGCGUCGACCGGCGCACGGGUGAGUAACGCGUAUCCAACCUGCCCGUCACUUGGGGAUAACCUUGCGAAAGUAAGACUAAUACCCAAUGACGUCCAUAGAAGACAUCUGAAAUGGAUUAAAGAUUUAUCGGUGAUGGAUGGGGAUGCGUCUGAUUAGCUUGUUGGCGGGGUAACGGCCCACCAAGGCGACGAUCAGUAGGGGUUCUGAGAGGAAGGUCCCCCACCUUGGAACUGAGACACGGUCCAAACUCCUACGGGAGGCAGCAGUGAGGAAUAUUGGUCAAUGGGCGAGAGCCUGAACCAGCCAAGUAGCGUGCAGGAAGACGGCCCUAUGGGUUGUAAACUGCUUUUAUAAGGGAAUAAAGUGGGUCUCGUGAGACUUUUUGCAUGUACCUUAUGAAUAAGGACCGGCUAAUUCCGUGCCAGCCGCCGCGGUAAUAC
rnacentral:rRNA from 1 species